rnacentral:rRNA from 1 species
AGAUUAAGUUAUUAAGGGCGCACGGUGGAUGCCUUGGCACUAGAAGCCGAUGAAGGACGUUACUAACGACGAUAUGCUUUGGGUAGCUGUAAGUAAGCGUUGAUCCAGAGAUUUCCGAAUGGGGGAACCCAGCAUGAGUUAUGUCAUGUUAUCGACAUGUGAAUUUAUAGCAUGUCAGAAGGCAGACCCGGAGAACUGAAACAUCUUAGUAC